UACGAAGGGGGCUAGCGUUGCUCGGAAUUACUGGGCGUAAAGCGUACGUAGGCGGAUCUUUAAGUCAGGGGUGAAAUCCUGGAGCUCAACUCCAGAACUGCCUUUGAUACUGAGGACCUUGAGUUCGGGAGAGGUGAGUGGAACUGCGAGUGUAGAGGUGAAAUUCGUAGAUAUUCGCAAGAACACCAGUGGCGAAGGCGGCUCACUGGCCCGAUACUGACGCUGAGGUGCGAAAGCGUGGGGAGCAAACAGG
rnacentral:rRNA from 1 species